rnacentral:lncRNA from 1 species
GCUCAUGCACGCGCGUGGACGCUGCGACGACUGCUUGGCGCGCCGGCGCACCUUGUGUUACGGUACUCGCGAGAAACCGGGCAUGCGCAGAGCGGCGCAGAUACGGCAAGGAACAGCCGGCUCGGCGCCCGAUGCGUCACCAGUCUCGCCAUUUUCGAAGGCUCUGCUAUCGGCGCUGGUUUGGAAUCCGUUGGGCCACGUAUUGUACUCCCGCUGCAGAUGGUGACCUGUGGAACCCAGAGGAGUACUUUCUUGUUGAUCGCCACGUGUUGGGAGCGGCUAGAGAACGUCACUACAGUAUUCUGCAUGUUAUUCACCAGUUAUUUUUCCUUUCACGUCUGUUAUGCUGAAAGAUUGUAGUCUACUUUGGAAUUCGUUCAAAGGGCACUUUUGGUAUUAACCCAGACCAUGGAAGCAAGGCUGAGAAAAAAAGCAAGGAAAGAGAACCCAAAAAUAUUCAGUUUGACGAAAAAAUCAUGGAUUCUGAAUGGAAUGUUUACAUUUUUGAACACCUAAAAAUGUACAAGAUAGAUCAAACUGUUACAAAGAGAUUAUGAUAAAGUUAUUUAUUGUGCCUGGAAUGGACAUAUGCCAAAUGCAGAAUCCAGGUGUGUGGAGAACUUUAAUAAAUAGCAGUAUUGCCCAUUUCCA